rnacentral:rRNA from 1 species
AUGCAAGUCGAACGAUGAACUUCCUUCGGGAAGGGAUUAGUGGCGAACGGGGUGAGUAACACGUGAGAAAAUCUGCCCUUCACGUCUGGAAUAACUCCGGGAAACCGGAGCUAAUACCCGGAUACUCAAAUCUGGCGGCAUCGCUGGAUUUGGAAAAGUUUUCGGUGAAGGAUGAUCUCGCGGCCUAUCAGCUUGUUGGUGAGGUAACGGCUCACCAAGGCUACGACGGGUAACCGGCCUGAGAGGGCGAACGGUCCACACUGGGACUGAGACACGGCCCAGACUCC